rnacentral:snRNA from 1 species
GUAAUCGUAGCUAAUGAGGUUAAUCUGAGGCGUGAUCAUUGCUAGUUGAAAACUUUUCCCAAU